rnacentral:rRNA from 1 species
UGGGGAAUAUUGGACAAUGGGGGGAACCCUGAUCCAGCCAUGCCGCGUGUGUGAAGAAGGCCUUAUGGUUGUAAAGCACUUUAAGCGAGGAGGAGGGUACUGGUAUUAAUACUACCAGGUACUGGACGUUACUCGCAGAAUAAGCACCGGCUAACUCUGUGCCAGCAGCCGCGGUAAUACAGAGGGUGCGAGCGUUAAUCGGAAUUACUGGGCGUAAAGCGCGCGUAGGUGGUUCGUUAAGUUGAAUGUGAAAGCCCCGGGCUCAACCUGGGAACUGCAUCCAAAACUGGCGAGCUAGAGUAGGGCAGAGGGUGGUGGAAUUUCCUGUGUAGCGGAGAAAUGCGUAGAUAUAGGAAGGAACACCAGUGGCGAAGGCGACCACCUGGGCUCAUACUGACACUGAGGUGCGAAAGCGUGGGGAGCAAACAGG